AGAAGCUCAGGCUCAGCUAGAAGCAGCUGCUCACCUGGUAAAGCUGCUGGACUCACCUGCUCAGGGGUCGAUGAGUUCAGGUUGGUGGGAGGAGCCAGUCGCUGUGCAGGAAGUCUGGAGCUGAAAUAUGUUGGUGACCAGAGACCUGUGAUGGGCGAUGGCUUCACCCUGGAGACAGCCGCUCUCUUUUGUGAGCAUCUGAACUGUGGCUCUGCUGUUUCUCUUGAACGAACUGAUGCGCCACUUCAAUCUAUGUGGCGAAUCGACUCAGAAUGUUUUCGAUCUGGACCUGAUCCGUGGAACUGUGUGGUAUCAUGGAGCUUCUUUCGCACACUGAAACUCAUCUGCUCAGGCCAGCAGGGGGCAGACCGGCAGACCGGCAGACCGGCAGACCGGGCGGACGCUGAGCGGGUGCAGUGGAGGGAUGAAUUCGGUCCUCUGAACCUUCCUGCUGUGAGGACUAGAUGGUUUUUAUGAGCUUCUUACAGCAAUGAUGAAUCUCAUCACGUUCCCACAGACAGUGGAACAAGGUUCCUUUUCCUUUUGUGGACCGUGGCGAAAAAAGAGCGUUGUUUUGUCGUAUACUGGACCACAGUGGAUGUCCUUUUUUAAUCUCCUUUUUACUCCUUUUUCAUUGAUGUUUUUCAGUCAUAUCAUGGAUGCUCAUUUCAUCAUAUAUUAUCAUCUGCUCCGCUCAGGCCGACUGUGUUUAACAGAGGAGAUAUUUUUGUGAUUGUAAUCCAACUUAUUAGCUUGUUCUGCACCAAGGUGAGGCAGGAUGUGGUUUGCAGCAGGUGUUGGACCGUAUGGAACCUGACCGGUUUGUAUUUAAUCCUGAGUGGUUCCAUCGUGGCCUGAAGAACUCAUGUGGAUCUCACCGAGUGCAUGUUGUGUUUUUCUUCUCUCUUCGUUCUCUUUUUGUUGAGAACUGAGGCUGUGGUUGGUUUUCUUGGUAACAAAACAGCAUCAGAGGACAUGUCCAUGGGACCGGAGCGUAUAAGUAGACCCUGUUUUCCAGUGGAUGGCGCUCUCGCUUUCCCUUUCUGAAUUAUCAGAGAAAAGAUCGAACCCUGACCUGAAAUCUGGAGAGAGGUGACCUCUGAGGUUGAUGUCAGCCAGAUACCAAAUUUAGACAAAAAACUGAUCAUUGUGAGCAGCAGAAUCUAAAAGCCGCUCACUUGAAUUGACCAUAUUAAAAUAAUACAUGCCAAAUAUUUGAGACGUAACAGAACCAACGCAAAAUCAGUUCUCUUUGAUUUCUUCAUUUUUUGGUAUUUUACUUUUUUUUAAUCAAUUUUGGAUUGUAACCUGUAAUCCUUUGAGUGAAUAAAAAUCUGGUGAACA